GGCUGACUUUCACAUUCUGUCUUUUGGGAAUUUUGAUACUUUUCUGCCCAGGAAUGAUGUUACUAUGAAGAUGCUGUGCACUGCUGCUGUUCCCCUGCACUGAAUGCUGUACUUCCUAAUUUCUGAGACAAUACGGAGAAUUUUCACACAAUUUCAUCUAUUAAAAUCAACCACAGCUAUAAUGGCAAAGCUGUUCACAGCAACCUCUCUACAAUGAAUGGCUCUGAGCCCAGUCAUCCCUUUGUUGCAGUAUCAGGAGAAAAACAGAUAGAUGUUGCCAUUUGCCUAGGUGACUGAGAAGCAAUUUCAAGCAACAGGGAAGUUCUGCCCUGGUACAGUUCAUCACUUUGUUUCUAGCACAGAAAUUAGUCAUGAUGUAAAUAAAUAAUGGAGGGAUUGUAAAAGGCAGAGUGACGCUGCACUUUUCUCCAUCUUUUGAUUGCUACCUUGCAGAAGCCAUUGCCGUGGAGAAGUGCAAUCUGUGGUGCGGUAGCUUUCCUCUGCACAAAGAUGGCAGCGUGAUUAGGCACAUCACCUUCUGUGAAUGCCUCCCAGUUUUAUAACCAGAAUGCCCUCCUGAUUUUAUAAACAAAUCUUUUAGCAGCUUGUAAAGGGCUUCUCCCUCUGAUCACAC